rnacentral:rRNA from 1 species
UACGAAGGGGGCUAGCGUUGCUCGGAAUCACUGGGCGUAAAGGGUGCGUAGGCGGGUCUUUAAGUCAGGGGUGAAAUCCCGAGGCUCAACCUCGGAACUGCCUUUGAUACUGCAAAUCUCGAGUCCGGAAGAGGUGAGUGGAAUUCCUAGUGUAGAGGUGAAAUUCGUAGAUAUUAGGAAGAACACCAGUGGCGAAGGCGGCUCACUGGCUCAUAUCUGACGCUCAGGCGCGACAGCGUGGGGAUCAAACAGG